rnacentral:snRNA from 1 species
GUGCUUGCUUUGGGAGCACCUAUACUAAAAUUGGAACAUAACUUGCAGAGAAGAUUAACAGAGCCUCUGUACAAGGAUUACACUCAAAUUUGUGAAGCAUUCCAUAUUAAA